GCAACAUUAAUAUACAGAUAGCUAGUCUCUCACCAGAUUUGUUUCUAUUUCUGUUUUUUUGGAGGUGACACUCAGGUAUGGACCUGCAAAUUACUUUCUUAAAGAAAUGAACACACUCAUUUUUGUUGUAUAUUUUUGCUCUAAAGGCUUUCCGGCAAACAGGCGAUCAAUGAUUUACAGCCUACAUCAGCUAAGGAAGACCGUGAUUGUGAUAUCAAGGAAGAAACAACUAAAUCAGCAAGUGCAAAAAGACAAAAUGAUAUUGAUGUUAUUGAAAGUGUUCCACAAGAGCAAACCAGUAACGUCAAAUUUACGUUUUGUUCACAAAGAUGGUAGAAGUGCCCAGAAUUUAGAAAGUAGUAAUCACCCCUAAUACCAAACUUCCACUUAAGAUUGAAGGAGAAAUGAAGAAGCAUGGAAGUAACAACAUGGGAUUAUCAGAAAACUUGACUGAUGCUGCUGGCAAUGGUGUUGAUGAACUAAUUCCACAAAGAAAGAGUGAAAAACCUGAAAAUCAGCAAUUUCCUAGGACAGAGAAUGAGAAGUAUCAAAGGUUAAAAGACAAAUAUAUUCUGUGAAUGACCUCGACGACUUAACUUGGCUAUCUGAAACAUCCUCCGAGGAUUCCUAUUGAAAAUGCAAGAUGCAGUUCUUUCAUGGGAACACUUAUUAGAACUUAAGAAUAAUCAUUGUGAACAACUUACAGUAAAUAUUAAACAAAUGGAAAAUAUGGUUGGUGUACUACAAAAGGAGCUAUCUGAAGCAAAAGAAACACAAUUACAGUUAGAGCAUGAAAAAGGUCAAUGGGAACAAGAACAAGAACGCUACAGUUUGAGAAUGACCUUAAAAGAAGAAGAAAAGAGAAGAAAUGAUGAUAUGUUGCCUAAAAAAGAUAGUGAACAGUUAAAAAGAAAAGAAAAGGAAUGCGGGAAAGAAGUUGAAACAACUCAAACAGACUCUGAAAUCACUGGUCACAGAAUUGAGGACAUAAGGAAAGAAUUUGGAUCAGGUUGUGCAGAAGCGAAGCGAUACCCACAAGCAACUUUCUGAAGAGCAGAAUGCCAGAAUAUUACAAGAUGAGAUUCUGACCAGUAAGCAAAAGGAGGUUGAAGGGGCUCAAAAGAAAAUGAAUUCUGAGGGAACUGCAGCAUGGGAUGCAACAUUCUUGGAAGAACUGAGAAGAGUACUCACUCAAAUUACCUUCUGUGUGGUUUCUAUGGUUUCUCCACACUGGUUGAGAAAGUUCUGAAAACCGCAAUCCAGAGGAUGGAAUAGUAGGAAGUCAGAUCCUGAGAGUCCUGGGGACCCUGAGGAACAAGCUUGCUCACAUCUGUGUUUUGUGAGCAGGAAAGGCUGAACACGAAGGCCCUGGGCCGAGCUGCAGAAGUCUCUCCUCUAAGAUCUGUUGGCAGAGGUAACAGGUAAGAAAUGACAGAUUUCUCCUUGUAAGGAAGUCCCAAUCUCUCCUCCUCAACCCCAAGUUUCAUUUUUCUCAUUCAUCUCUCCAUUUCUGUUCAACAAUGCUUUGCAUGUAAUUGACACUAUACAAAUGCUUGUUGAAUGAACAAAUUAAUACACAAAAAUAUCAAUGAAUAAAUGCCAACCCCAGAAAUAUCUGGUUAUGCCUGUUUGAAUAGUCCUAGAGACUUUCAUCCAUGUGACUGGCUUACUGUGAACCAUCAAUGACAAUGUAGCACAAAUGCUAGCGGGAUACGGAGGAGUCUUUUCCUGUUAGAGCUGGAAGAGGCCCUAGAGCUUAUCAUAUCCCAAAGUCCCAAACCAGUGAACGCUAGCAGAGUAUACUUAUUUACCAUGCAUAAUCUUGUUGCUGCUGAUGUUGACUGUUACUUUGGAAUUAGUUACCAACAUAGAAAAAUUAGGAGACUUCACAAAAAGUGAUUCAGGGGCUGUUUGGGGAAAAAAACUAGAAAAUAGCUACAGAAAAUAGCCUGGGCUGACUAGUUGCUGCCCCUCUUGCAUUCUAUUUUAUUAGUGUAUUUAUUCUUCUUGGUCUUCUUUCAAGAAUGGCUCCCAUUUUAGAUGGAGUGUGUUCUAUUCAUUUAAUGCAGCUCCCAACCACCCCCAGUGCACCUGAUGCAUAGACAGGACCUGUCCAGCCCUGGUAGCAGUUGCAUUUGUGAUGCCUAAUUUAAUCCUAUGCCACUCCACUACCCUUUUUUCAAUAAGAAAACUGAGGCCCACUCAAUUUGCCUCCCUAAAAAUGUGUCUGAUUUGGGUCUCAUUCCUACAUUGUCUUCCAUCCACUGCCAUAGUAAACACUGAAAAAUACAGAUGUAACAAGGUCACCCUUCUGCUUAAAAUCCUUCGGUGGCUCCUUACUAGUUUGGAAGAUCCCAGUCUUCUUGUCAUGGCUAAUGAGACCUUUCAAUGCAAAGCCUACUUUACCAGCCUUAACUCUGACAACGCUAAUAAGCCAGCCACACCAAACAUCUUCAAGUUAUUUUACUCUGCCAUAUCGUUUUGUGCCUCACUAUCUCUGUCUAUGCUGAUCUCUUUGCCUGGAAUGCCCAUCCUUAUCAUUUGUCUGACAAACUCAUGCACAUUCGGCACUUAGCUCAGGCACCUGUGAUUCUGCCCUGCCAAUGCCUCCACCCUCCUCCUACUUCUCCUCCUCCUCCAUCAUCUCUGAGCCAUAGGGCUAAGCUCACACCUCUAUUUAUAGCUCUUAGAACAGUCAGUUAUAACUUCCCUACUAGAGUAUGUGCUCCUUGAGGGAAGAGACCACAGACCAUUCAUUUUUAUCUUCUGCAUUUUUUCCCAGUGUUCAAUAAAUGUUGAAUAAACAAA